AGCGAACGCUGGCGGCAGGCCUAACACAUGCAAGUCGAACGAAGUCUUCGGACUUAGUGGCGGACGGGUGAGUAACACGUGGGAACGUGCCUUUAGGUUCGGAAUAACUCAGGGAAACUUGUGCUAAUACCGAAUGUGCCCUUCGGGGGAAAGAUUUAUCGCCUUUAGAGCGGCCCGCGUCUGAUUAGCUAGUUGGUGAGGUAAUGGCUCACCAAGGCGACGAUCAGUAGCUGGUCUGAGAGGAUGACCAGCCACAUUGGGACUGAGACACGGCCCAAACUCCUACGGGAGGCAGCAGUGGGGAAUCUUGUGCAAUGGGCGAAAGCCUGACGCAGCCAUGCCGCGUGGAUGAUGAAGGUCUUAGGAUUGUAAAAUCCUUUCACCGGUGAAGAUAAUGACUGUAGCCGGAGAAGAAGCCCCGGCUAACUUCGUGCCAGCCGCCGCAGUAACAC
rnacentral:rRNA from 1 species